UACAGAGGUCCCAAGCGUUGUUCGGAUUCACUGGGCGUAAAGGGUGCGUAGGUGGUCGGGUAAGUCUGAUGUGAAAUCUCCAAGCUCAACUUGGAAACUGCAUCGGAUACUAUUCGGCUCGAGGGUUGGAGGGGGGACUGGAAUGCUUGGUGUAGCAGUGAAAUGCGUAGAUAUCAAGCGGAACACUAGUGGCGAAGGCGAGAUCCUGGACAGUAUCUGACACUGAUGCACGAAGGUCAGGGGAGCAAACGGG
rnacentral:rRNA from 1 species